rnacentral:rRNA from 1 species
GUUAGGAAUAUUGGACAAUGGACGCAAGUCUGAUCCAGCCAUGCCGCGUGAGUGAUGAAGGCCUUCGGGUUGUAAAGCUCUUUAGCCGAUGAUUAUAAUGACUGUAGUCGGAAAAUAAGCCCCGGCUAACUUCGUGCCAGCAGCCGCGGUAAUACGAAGGGGGCGAGCGUUAUUCGGAAUCACUGGGCGUAAAGCGUGCGUAGGCGGUUUUGUAAGUUGGGAGUGAAAGCCCAGGGCUCAACCCUGGAAUUGCUCUCAAAACUACAAGACUUGAAUUCGGGAGAGGAUAGCGGAAUUGUCAGUGUAGCAGUGAAAUGCGUAGAUAUUGACAGGAACACCAGUGGCGUAAGCGGCUAUCUGGACCGAUAUUGACGCUGAGGCACGAAAGCGUGGGGAUCAAACAGGAUUAGAUACCCCGGUAGUCC